GACGAACGCUGGCGGCGUGCUUAACACAUGCAAGUCGAACGAAGAGCGAUGGAAGCUUGCUUCUAUCAAUCUUAGCGGCGAACGGGUGAGUAACGCGUAAUCAACCUGCCCUUCAGAGGGGGACAACAGUUGGAAACGACUGCUAAUACCGCAUACGAUCUAAUCUCGGCAUCGAGGAUAGAUGAAAGGUGGCCUCUACAUGUAAGCUAUCACUGAAGGAGGGGAUUGCGUCUGAUUAGCUAGUUGGAGGGGUAACGGCCCACCAAGGCGAUGAUCAGUAGCCGGGCUGAGAGGAUGAACGGCCACAUUGGGACUGAGACACGGCCCAGACUCCUACGGGAGGCAGCAGUGGGGAAUCUUCCGCAAUGGACGAAAGUCUGACGGAGCAACGCCGCGUGAGCGAUGACGGCCUUCGGGUUGUAAAGCUCUGUUAAUCGGGACGAAAGGCCUUCUUGCGAAUAGUGAGAAGGAUUGACGGUACCGGAAUAGAAAGCCACGGCUAACUACGUG
rnacentral:rRNA from 1 species